GGGUGCCUGAAGCUUUCUGUUUCAGGCAACAGUUGAUCAGAAAGAGAAAAGGCCCCGAGUGAUUUUUCAAUCAACCCGAGGCCCCUCGCAUACUCGACAUAUGCAAGGUUAGCCUCUUACCACGUCGAAAGCAACG
rnacentral:antisense_RNA from 1 species